AUUGAACGCUGGCGGCAGGCCUAACACAUGCAAGUCGAGCGGAUGAGGGGAGCUUGCUCCUGGAGUCAGCGGCGGACGGGUGAGUAAUGCCUAGGAAUCUGCCUGGUAGUGGGGGAUAACGUCCGGAAACGGGCGCUAAUACCGCAUACGACCUGAGGGAGAAAGUGGGGGAUCUUCGGACCUCACGCUAUCAGAUGAGCCUAGGUCGGAUUAGCUAGUUGGUGGGGUAAAGGCCUACCAAGGCGACGAUCCGUAACUGGUCUGAGAGGAUGAUCAGCCACACUGGAACUGAGACACGGCCCAGACUCCUACGGGAGGCAGCAGUGGGGAAUAUUGGACAAUGGGCGAAAGCCUGAUCCAGCCAUGCCGCGUGUGUGAAGAAGGUCUUCGGAUUGUAAAGCACUUUAAGUUGGGAGGAAGGGCAGUAAGUUAAUACCUUGCUUUUUUGACGUUACCAGCAGAAUAAGCACCGGCUAACUUCGUG
rnacentral:rRNA from 1 species